rnacentral:rRNA from 1 species
GAUGAACGCUAGCGGCGUGCCUAAUACAUGCAAGUCGAGCGAACAGAUGAGAAGCUUGCUUCUCUGAUGUUAGCGGCGGACGGGUGAGUAACACGUGGGUAACCUACCUAUAAGACUGGGAUAACUCCGGGAAACCGGGGCUAAUACCGGAUAAUAUUUUGAACCGCAUGGUUCAAUAGUGAAAGACGGUUUCGGCUGUCACUUAUAGAUGGACCCGCGCCGUAUUAGCUAGUUGGUAAGGUAACGGCUUACCAAGGCGACGAUACGUAGCCGACCUGAGAGGGUGAUCGGCCACACUGGAACUGAGACACGGUCCAGACUCCUACGGAAGGCAGCAGUAGGGAAUCUUCCGCAAUGGGCGAAAGCCUGACGGAGCAACGCCGCGUGAGUGAUGAAGGUCUUCGGAUCGUAAAACUCUGUUGUUAGGGAAGAACAAAUUUGUUAGUAACUGAACAAGUCUUGACGGUACCUAACCAGAAAGCCACGGCUAACUACGUGCCAGCCGCCGCAGUAA